rnacentral:sRNA from 2 species
CAGUGUCAUGGCCGUCUGAGCUAAGAAAAUAACUUAUUGAAAAGGCGCAGACUUCUGCGCCUUUUUU